UGGCAAGAAUCAUGCCAAGCGCAACUAGGAUUCCGGAACAGACACCAGCAAGGACGUAAAACAUACUCUCGUGUUCAUCCCUAUCCUGAGGUGCAUGUCCAGCAGCACCUUCUAGAGGAACAGAAAGUAAAAGGGCGGCCUUAGAAGAGGAUUCCUGGAGGAGGGUUCAGUGGUGGCGGAAGGUGGCACAAUCAAACGAGGUCCUGGGCUGAAAGCCGUCCCGAAGACAGCAUUAUCGAAAUGCUUCUCCUCAAGAAGCUGAAGCUCAUUAGGGUUUUCGUCCUCGUCCAAAGGCGAUUUCAAUUUAUACUCAUCGAGAAACAUUGGCGAGACACUAUGGCACCAAACGGAGUAUACAUAGGAAGACCUAAUUCACCAGGAGUUGAAGAGCACUGUAUCGCUCGUACUACUAAGAGUACUACUAGUAGUAGUAAUAUGCCAGGAAGUCGUACACGGCGUGGAAUACCAGUAGACUCCCUGGGGAAUAAAUAGAGCCAUAAACCCGGCUGUUUGCCAGGCGGCCCUCACGAAUUCUCAUCCAAGUACUUGAGUCCCUUGUUGGCAUAGUUCAAGGAGCACACGGUUCCGCUCCGCCAUAGAAUGCGAGAACUCCACUUUAACGGUACAACGAGCAAGCGAAACAAUGCUAUCCUUUGAUCGGAUUUCGUUCUCUAAUCAAUAUCGAUUCGCAAGACUCGAUUGCACGGUAGUCACACAGAUUUCCCAAGAUAUUUAGUAUUAACUGGCUAUUUUUUUUACUUCGUUAACUAUAAAUAUGUUCGUGAGUAAUCUAUCUUCGUGAAGAUUAUUUUUUAGAAGAUUAUCCUUCUUACUCAAUAUGAAUCAAUCAAUUCUAUAUCAUUUCAAUUAUUUAUAGUAAACCUUUUGACAGGAGAAAAAAGUUCUUUAUGGAGAUUGUCCUGAUGUAAUGCAACUCGUCUUUCAGAAUGAAUUAAUAAACCCUUUCAAUUAGUGUGCUAACCCAGAUAGACAGAUAUACAUAAAUUUUGCUGCAAUUUUACCUGAAAUUGAAUCACGAAAUAUAUAAUGCUCACCUGACAGUCACAUUUGCUAAAUUAAACGAUGAAAUUAUAGUGUAAGAACAAUCGGUAAUGUUGAUUAUACCUGAUUGCUUCAUUCACUGUGCCAAGAAAGAAAAAUAACUUUAUCCUCUUCAUAAUCUACCAAAGUAUAUAGUAAAUAUGGUUUAAGUGUACCUCAUAUCAUAAUCGAAAAGAAUUUUUAUUUAACCUCGCCAUUGCUUCGUAUUUACAUCAUCCCGUGAUCGUUCAGUAAAAGCCGCACAUGACUAUAUUCUGUGUAGAAAAUUUGGUGGAUUAAAAGGGUUACCUAGAAGUAUUACUUUGCUAUAUGCAUUUGAGAGAUGCACUAUAUUUGCGAAUUGAUUGUUCCACGUCCUGCCACCUAGCGGACAUAUGUACAUACUCCGAAUCAGUCAGUCUAU